CUUGCUGGGUGGAUUAGUGGCGAACGGGUGAGUAACACGUGAGUAACCUGCCCCUGACUCUGGGAUAAGCGUUGGAAACGACGUCUAAUACUGGAUAUGAUCACUGGCCGCAUGGUCUGGUGGUGGAAAGAUUUUUUGGUUGGGGAUGGACUCGCGGCCUAUCAGCUUGUUGGUGAGGUAAUGGCUCACCAAGGCGACGACGGGUAGCCGGCCUGAGAGGGUGACCGGCCACACUGGGACUGAGACACGGCCCAGACUCCUACGGGAGGCAGCAGUGGGGAAUAUUGCACAAUGGGCGAAAGCCUGAUGCAGCAACGCCGCGUGAGGGAUGACGGCCUUCGGGUUGUAAACCUCUUUUAGUAGGGAAGAAGCGAAAGUGACGGUACCUGCAGAAAAAGCACCGGCUAACUACGUGCCAGCAGCCGCGGUAAUACGUAGGGUGCAAGCGUUGUCCGGAAUUAUUGGGCGUAAAGAGCUCGUAGGCGGUUUGUCGCGUCUGCUGUGAAAUCCCGAGGCUCAACCUCGGGCUUGCAGUGGGUACGGGCAGACUAGAGUGCGGUAGGGGAGAUUGGAAUUCCUGGUGUAGCGGUGGAAUGCGCAGAUAUCAGGAGGAACACCGAUGGCGAAGGCAGAUCUCUGGGCCGUAACUGACGCUGAGGAGCGAAAGCAUGGGGAGCGAACAGGAUUAGAUACCCUGGUAGUCCAUGCCGUAAACGUUGGGCGCUAGAUGUAGGGACCUUUCCACGGUUUCUGUGUCGUAGCUAACGCAUUAAGCGCCCCGCCUGGGGAGUACGGCCGCAAGGCUAAAACUCAAAGGAAUUGACGGGGGCCCGCACAAGCGGCGGAGCAUGCGGAUUAAUUCGAUGCAACGCGAAGAACCUUACCAAGGCUUGACAUACACCGGAAACGGCCAGAGAUGGUCGCCCCCUUGUGGUCGGUGUACAGGUGGGUGCAUGGUUGUCGUCAGCUCGUGUCGNGAGAUGUUGGGUUAAGUCCCGCAACGAGCGCAACCUUCGUUCUAUGUUGCCAGCGGGGUUAUGCCGGGGGACUCAUAAGAAGAC
rnacentral:rRNA from 1 species